GACGAACGCUGGCGGCGUGCUUAACACAUGCAAGUCGAACGGAAAGGCCCUGCUUUUGUGGGGUGCUCGAGUGGCGAACGGGUGAGUAACACGUGAGUAACCUGCCCUUGACUUUGGGAUAACUUCAGGAAACUGGGGCUAAUACCGGAUAGGAGCUCCUGCUGCAUGGUGGGGGUUGGAAAGUUUCGGCGGUUGGGGAUGGACUCGCGGCUUAUCAGCUUGUUGGUGGGGUAGUGGCUUACCAAGGCUUUGACGGGUAGCCGGCCUGAGAGGGUGACCGGCCAAAAUGGGAACGAGAUAAGGCCCAGACUCCUACGGGAGGCAGCAGUGGGGAAUAUUGCACAAUGGGCGGAAGCCUGAUGCAGCAACGCCGCGUGCGGGAUGACGGCCUUCGGGUUGUAAACCGCUUUCGCCUGUGACGAAGCGUGAGUGACGGUAAUGGGUAAAGAAGCACCGGCUAACUACGUG
rnacentral:rRNA from 1 species